ensembl:lncRNA
CUUUUUUUUCAGGACUACUGCUUUCCUCUUUCACUUUAUUUAGGACUCUCCUUAAAACUUGCUUUGAUGCCUAAGAUGUUCAGGAAUCCCCUGAGCAGCGGCUGUGAUGCUCUGUGCUUAGGUCCACACUGCCGUGCUGCUAUAUUGCACUCCACCAUCUUUUUUAUGUUCACCUGUUGUUUGUCCUCUAGAAUUUGUAUUUCAAACCCUGUGGGUCAAAGUCUGCUUGCGUUACGCGCAUAUGCAGCACCUACUGCUGUGAAUUGGGGUCAUGCUGUCUGUCACCUAGUUCGUAAUUGGUUUUCUGGUCCAUGCUCUGAAGAUGACUCUACUCUGCUCAGUCCUAUCUGGGCUGCCGAUUUGCUGAUAUGGCAUUCCUUUGCUUUUCUCAUUUUCACCUGCACGGCAGUCCAAGUAAGCUGUUAAGUACAACCGGGAUAGAGCAGGGUAUUAUUGUCUUUGUCUGAAUACACAGAUGCAUUCUGACACCUCCUAAUCCUCAAGGCCAGGAUGUCAAUAAAAACUGGAAAUGCUGUGGCAUCAUCAUAUCUCACCUUCAGUAUAAUCCUAACGCAGGGUCUGUGGCCUUGGAUAUGUGAUGGAUGAGUUUUUAUCACUCCGUUCAGUUGCUUUAUAAUGGCAUACAAUGAUUGUGCUGUCAAUAAGUAGCUAUAACCUAUGUCUGCUCUACAGGUCAUUCUGCUCCCUUAACUGCCUCUCUACAGCCCUCAGCCCUAAAUUUUAAAUCUGUGCAAGAAAUAAUGCGUGCCUGUGAAAUUAAGGCUUAUAUUCCUCUUGUUAUUAAUCAGCUCUUCCCUAGCAGCCUCUGAUUAUGCUCCACACUGUAUUAGCAUGACUGCAAUGCUCGAGAUCCAUCUCCCCAUCACGUCCUUUUCUUUCUCUGAUUCCUUUUCUAACUUCUAGCAGAAGAAGGGCCAUUCAUUCAGAAGGUGGCAGGUGUGAAGUGCUGGAGUUUAACAGAAAAAAAAGAAUAGGCGAACAAUGCAUUUAUUAGACUAUUUCAUGUGAAGAGGAAAGGAAGGGGUUUCAAAGAAUGGGGAAGAAAAAUUAGAGGGCAGUGUGACUAGAUCUGAAUUUAGAUUAAGGUUAAGCAACUUCUGAAAGUUUAUUUUCUUUUUUUUCCCCUCCAGCUAAGGACAGCCCUUGAAGAUGUCAACAGACAAAAGAGAAAUAAGCCUAAAUCUAAAUCCUGGUCUUAAUAUACUGAAACCUCUGGGAAUCCAGAUCUAGCUCCACUCAGGUGCAUUGCAUUUCAUAGGCAGGGCAGAGAGAGAGUUUUGGUUUAUUUUUUUCCCCUCUUUUUCCUGAGGAAAGGAAACAAAAGGGAACACUUUGGGUCACCCUAAUGAACCAGAUUACGACAUUGUUUUAGCACUGUUUUACCUAACAUCUCAAGUAAGAUGUUAGGCAGCCUGAGGCACUUGUAGGUCAUGGUGCCCCCAAGCACCACCCGGAGCACCCACCUCUGCCCACAGGGCAGGGCCUCCAGCCCAGCACCCCGCCUAGUCCCACCCAAGCUGUGCUCCUUGGGCCCCUCCUCCUGGACGACCUUGGGCCCACAUCACAGCCUGGGUUUCUGCACCAUCUGUUGCUAAUCCUGUCUGAAACCAUCUAAACCCUGGUCCUGACUCACCCCAGUCAUGGCACCCUGGAGCCUUCAGGAUGGUGUCCCAACAGUGAUGGUGUGUGUAGCAGCGUCACCCCAGCUCCCAGAUUGGCCCCCAAAUACAGAGCAACUCCACCAGCGCUGCAUCCUGGCACAGAAGUAAAAGCAAGCAGAGAAUGAGGAAAGUUGGUCAGCGGUGCUUUGCUGCUAUGACUCAUGGGAGAACUCUUCUUUCAGAGAGAAGAUGGAGGAUCUCCAGCAAAGCACUUCGAAUUCAGUGAGACACAAUAUUAUCUAAUCACCUGGAAAUGUAUAUGAACUAUUUAUGAUGUGUGGGAGGUCUUGGGACCUGUCUUUGUAGUCUUCUCUAGGUGACUGGUUUUGGUCAGUGUUGGAGACAGGGUACUAGACUAAGUGAGCUUUUGAGCUGACCACUGCAGCUGUGUUUGUCUUAAGAUAUGAACAGUUUUGAUGAGUCUUACUGAUCAGCACUGGAGUUGAUGCGGCUCUGCUCUGAGUACAGAAGGGGGUUUAGGGAUGGAGGGCAAGUACCAAGGCCUUUGGCACCUCUUGGUAAACUGUUCUCACAGCAAAACACACACCUACAUAUUAGAUGUUCCCUGCUGAGAUGUUCACUGAGAUAAUAUUUGGCCUCCAGUGUCCCCUAGCCUGCUACAGGCAUUACCUCUGUGCUUACCUUGAGACUUGAACAGUGUGUUUUGUUGUAUUUGUGGGUCACCUAAAGGAGAGGGAGAUCUCUCUGAACUUCAGGGUGAUAGUACAAGACUCACUGGUGAUCUGCUUCUGAAGAGUCUUUUCCCCUCUUUCCUUCCCCACUUAGUGGAAAGAGUAUAAGCUCAAAAAACUGAAGAACUCCCAUUAUAUUGCACAAAAAAUCUCUUUUCUCUAAUACAGUUUGAAAAAAAAUCAAUUCUUAAAGAAAAUGGCAAUACCUGAAUUAUGAUUAGCUGGAACAUUUUAGAAGGUAGAUUUUACCCAUUAAGGUCAGGGAUGUAGAAAUGCUCCCUAGUUCUUAUAAUAAAUAACCAUGACACCUUUCUAAGUGUUUCCACCACUAUAGCUUGUGUUUUCUGAAGUGCCUAUGUGUUCAAUUCAAGUCAUGCUAGGAUUUCAGUGCACCUUUUAUGGAGUCUACUCUCAGAAUUCCAGCUGUUUAGAUGUGUCACUGACCAAAUGGCAGCAUGAAAAAUGUUAAUGCAUGAGAGUAGUUAAAUAAACGUCUCAUUUGAAUUGAACAUCAAAGAAAUGAGCAAGAGGAACACCUGUCCUUACACACCAUACACAGCAUGCAUUGAGAAAAGCUAGAAAGCUUGAUUAUUAUUUCAGGGUCAGCUUUGUCUGUUUGUUCUGCAUGGGCUAAUUACUACUACUGAUGAAAUUACUAGCUCUCACCGUUAUCAGAAUUACUGUGUUCUGUGGAAGGGUGGUAGGACAAGGGACAGGGAAGCGGAACCACAUGAGUGAAUAAUUGCAGUGAAGUUAGACUCACUUUACAAGCAUUAGCGUUUCAGUGAGUAAUCAAAUGUCUGAACUGGGUCUUGAUCCCUGAAGGCUUUUGAACCUGUGUGCUUUUCUGUGGGCGAGCAACCUACCUGAUGUUGUGUUAUGAUGUAAAUUACCUCUACAGAUAGUGCUGGUGUGCACAUUAUAGCUUGAAAAGAUUUAACCUGAAAGCCACUGACAGAAUAAAAUGGGGACCUUGCUCAAAUUUGUCCUGGUAACACAUGAUGCUUAGAAAUGUUAAAUUAAUCUGCACAAAUAUUUUCAUUUAAUUUAUAUGUAGGGACCUCAUUUGUUUCCAGAAGUUGCAGCAACACUUUGCGUUUCUUGACCUUCAGACUUGCUUUUGAAAGGCUUCUUGAAUUUACCCUUCCAGAAUUUUAUGUUUUGUGCAUUUUUUUUUUAAGCUUACAGGUAGCUUAUUCCUAAACUAUAGACACAUUUGGGGCAUUAGAGAAAAUGUCAGAUUGCUUGAGACACCGGAUGUAUUAUUUUGAACUCCCUCUCAGACUUGCUGUCAAAGCUAUUUCUUGCUUUCGCAGAGGGUAGGCAAAGCUAUGCCAUUCUUUGUUGCUUCAGGACAAGUGGACCAAUAUUGGAAAUGACAUUUUCUUUGUGUUCCCUCACAUCCCUUUUUAUUUAUGUAUGUGGUCCCAUUGGAGUUGCUAAGAUGUCUUUUGUGCCAAGAACUAAUUCAACAGAGUAGCAUAUACAACUUGACUGGCAUCCGUAGGGCUAUGAAUUUGAUGCAUUGCAUUCCUUACUAUAAGUGAUGGACCAAGAGUUUAUUCCAGAUGUGUGCUUAGUAGGCGGAGCAAAUACAUCAGCUGCAUCCAGCUUUGGCUGCUCUUGCUCUGACAGGGAGGGAUAGUACUUGCACCCAGCAUGCAGGGCUCAGCACCACGCGGAGCUGGCCACAACAUGUUUACACUGUGGUUCUCCUUAGUAUUUGUCCAAAGCUAAAAUUAUUAUUUGCCCUUUGCAUCUUUCUCUCUUGCAGAAGUUGCCUUGCAAUCUUUCCUCGUCAGGGGGCUGGUGUCAGGAGGAAGCUACGCGGGUGGAUUUCUUCUUAAAUGAGCUAUUGCACACACUUACCCUGAUAGCAGCUCAUGUCAAUACUGGAUGUGAGUGGUGGAUUAGAGGGCAAAGGGCAUGUAAAGACUCCUUCCCUCUCCAGUGCCUUCUCAUCGGAUGAUUGAUAGAGGGUGAGAGAUUGAUUGGGAAACCUGUCCACUGACUUUUUCUUUUAUUCCUUGCUUACCUCUCUCUGCUGCCAGCUGUGUUUUCAUGCCUUUCUUACUGACAGAUCAGGCACAGCCAUGACCUGCAGUCUUAGGUUUUCAAAAACAAUUGGCAGAAAGAUGAGCUCUCAUAAAGAAC